rnacentral:lncRNA from 1 species
UGCUGUUCGCAUUAUGAAAAACAAAAUAACACCAAAUGACCAUCUAACCCCGCCGAAUGGCGUCGUUUGCAAAGGGCAAAGUCUGGCGAGGAGCUAGGCAUCACAUAAAAUCAACUUCGCCCAAAUCAAUUGAAAUUCACACUGUUCAUGGAACAUAACAUCUUUAUUGUAUUAGAAUAGAUUGUAUACUAUAAUUGUUAAAGCUGACUCCUUGGCAUCCAAGUAUAAUUAUAACUUUU